AGGCAUUUAACAGAUAUUUUUACAUCACUUUGGCUAUGCAAGGCUCUGACUUGCACAACACUGACACAGUGCAACUCAGGACCUCAAAAAGCCCCACUCCAUUUUGUUCUCCACCCCUUAAGUUUUUUUUUCCUAACGAGGCGCCGUUGGCUGCCUGCUGACCUACUCUAUCCCAUUAGUAUAUCGAAGGAAACCCGCUCGGUAAAGGAGAGGGAGCAGUUCAACAGGGCCAGGAAGAUUGUGGAGAGGAUCACUGCAGACCAACUGCGAUCUUUGGUGAAAAACUACUACCAGCGCUGCACCAUCCUCCCUGGAAAGUCUUUCCCCCACCCGUGCAGUCAGGCACGAGUCAGGAGUAUCCAAGAGACCCAGGAGUAUCCAAUCCACCAGGUCAAUUAACUGAGUUUCCCACCAAGCUUUCAUACUCUGGAACACCCACCACAGAUUCUUCAUUUUUAACUUCACUUUUCUACGUUUUCAUGUUUUUUUUUUGUUUGUUUUUUUGUUUUUUUUGGUGUGUGUGUUUUUGGUUUUUCUUUUCUCCUUUUUCUUUUUUAAAUGUAUAUAAUACAUUACAACCCAGCUACAGUCAUUGAUUGAAGCUUUUCUUAUCAGUGCUGAACAUGACCGUAACACUCUUGUCCUCAAUCACAGCUCUUCAUCCUCUGUGGGCCACACAGGCCAGGAAAAUCUCUCAACGAGUGAGUUUGAUGUAGCCCCAGAUGCAAAUCUGGCCACGAAUCUCACAGCAUUGGCAGAUAUCAGCCAGGAUCUCAUUGCCAUCCCUGCUGAAGAACUGUUUACAUCCCAGCAAACACAAGAGGUUAAUAUCAAUGUAGUAACCAACUAACUGUGCAUUGUCCCUGCGCAGUCUGCGUUGUCUCCAGGCCUGUGAAUCCGCUCCUUGUUACUGACUUUAACAACAAUAAUUGUAAACGUUUUGACAUGAGAGGACCAUAAUUAUUCUUUUCACUUCUGAAUGAACUUCAUAUAACUCACCCAGACCAAUUUGUACAAUUAAUCUUUGGUGUUUCCUGUCAGCAGUGUGAUUUGUCAGAGGAGAUAGAUGCCCUGCUGGCUUCUCUUUUAGAUGGUGAAACACAUAUUCCAGCAAACACCGGAUGUGAACACUUUCAGGCCCCGUCUUGAAACCAUCAAUUUUGAACAGUGGGAUGGCCUUUGAAAUCAAGACUGAUCUCAUCCACCUGCUCCUCCUCCUCAUCAUCACCAUUCACCCACUUCUACACAAUCUGCAUCUUGCACAAUUAAUUUUCAGUAUUACUUUUUGCACUUUACAUCCCACUCGUAUGCACAUUGUCUUAUAUCUUAUUUUUAUUAUUUGUAUAUUAUGUUGAUAUGUGCCGAUGCGUGUGUAUUGUAUUUUCUAUUGGCUUUUUUGUACAGAAAGUUUACCUUUAUUUUUUAUUUACUUAUUUCUGUUUCUAU